CGUGAUUUUGCCAGAACGAAUCAAGCUUCGAUACAAAGCUUCAAUAAAAAUCGGUUCAUUUUUUUGACACACGCUUCGGAGUCACUGGUAACAUCACUAGUCUCGAUCAUAAUAACAAAGUCCAAUAUCUUUGAUCAUAAUAUGUCCCUUCGCGCAAAGAAAAGCAGAAAUACAUUUCUCAGACGAGCAUUUAUCAUCGAUGAGCGUAACGUUAUAUGUUUUUUAUACAGUAUGUGUGGAAAAACAGUCUUUCAACACAUUUUUAUAGUGUGAUAAGACGUCUAUUCGUAGUACUAUUAUUUAUUUUUGUUAAAUUAUUUACACAUUUGUCUGGAAAAUGGCCUUCUGAUUGGAUGGGCCACAACUCAAAAGUGGACCCGUAGCUUCAUCACUGGUACAAAGACUUGCAACUCGACUUGAACAUCAAUGACUUGUGACUUCACUUGGACUUGCGCCUUUUGACUCGAGAAGACUUGCUACUUAACAUGAAAACCUGGGGGAAAAUUUUCACACGGCCGCGCUGCUCUCAGUGUAUCUGCAUCUGUGAAAAAUGUGCACCACCUGCAUGAAGAGAGCACGUGCGGUGCCUACACGACACCAAAUCACUGUAGCCUACCACGUUGGUUUGGAUGUUGGGACCGUACCAGCAGUAGCCUACAGCUCAGCAGUGGUGUAGUCUACGUGAUAUUCAGGUCUUCAGCUGACACAGGAGGACUGGAAUCUGGAGUGCAUUCAUGAGCGACCACAUUCAAAAUAGCAAAUGUGAAGCAUCUCCAUCGGGAUCUGAUUGGAUAGUUUGAAGUUGGGUCGUGUUGCUAAUUGCUAAUCGCUGCGAUCCUCUUCCGGACCCCGCCCACCUGCCAUACUUUUGACCGGAAGUGAAGAGAGAUCGUUUUGAGGAGGGGAGGAGAUUUACAUUUUUGAUUAAAGAUUAUGAGCACACACGAAUUUUUAAAAAAUAAUGAAGCUCACAGAUAAGUCAUUUGUUAAUAAUCCCACAAUAUUAAAAAUAUAUAUAUAGUUUUUCAUUUCAAUUUCAUUGCUACUUUAACCAUACUUUUAAUUUCUGCUUUACUGUAAUUUACCUCAAUAUCUAUGUUAGGCUUUCCAGCUGCUUGCUUAGCGUAUUUAUCUGCUGACUCAUUUCCUACAACCCCUUUAUGAGCUGGUAACGUUACCCAUACAAAAGUUACAUCAAUACCUGACCUUACCAGAUUUUUUGCCACUUUUAGAAUAUCAUAUACAAUAUCCUGCCUUGAGUUUGACUGAAACGUUUUGAUACUGAUUAAAGCUGAGCUGGAAUCUGAAGCAAUUAUUGGCUGUUUCUCAAUAUGCGUUCUUCAGCGAUCUUGCGUCCUCGUGUCCUCGCUCUACGUCAUCAUUAACGGUCGAAGUUCAUUCCAAUUCUCAAGAACGCAAGGACAGAGGACGCAUGAAAAUACCCGGAUGUGUUCUUGAUAUCGAGGAUGCAUCGAGUGCAGACUUGCUGAAAUCGCUUUACGCCCCAGAAGUCAUUGCGGCAAAACUUCCGAGUUCGUUCUUCCAAGGUAGCCUGGCAAGACCGAUCUCCACGAGGACGCAAGUCCGUUCUUUGCGUUCUUGGAAUUGAGAAACAGCCAUUGCCUUCCUAGGCCUAUUGACCUCCACCCAAAUCAAAGUUAGCACCACAAGAACCUACCUGCGAGUGACGGCAAAGUACCGCGAAAGCGAUUCCAGUUAUCACGUGGAGAAAUCUGCUUUGAAUCACUCGCGCUACUUUGACAUCACCAAGAGGUCUGCUUAUGCUGGGUACACACCAGAAGAUUUUUUACAUCUUAUAAGAUUUUCAAAAUGUGAAAGACCACAAACAUGAGGAUAAAAAAUCCUGGAUUUAACCGUUUUGCUCCUAUAGUGUGUGAUGUGCCACUAUGUGUCAAAGACAGCACACCACACACAAACAGAUUUUUAACCAGAGUCUCGACUGUGAACACAGGAAAUCCCACAAAAUCUCGCGAGACUUCAGAAUAAGCAUGGCAGACGAUAUGCAGGGAGACAUUUCAAUGAUAGUGCUUGGAAUAAUUUUUACAAGACACGUAUUCGUGCUGUUGCCACAAAUCAACAAGCUGAUCCUCCAUCUUUGCUGUCCACAUCAACUUCACUUUGGCCGCAUAUGCAGGCUGCAUAUGUCAUGAAACCUGGUUUAUUCAAGUUAACUGAGCAUUACAUUUGCAAGUCAUAUGUAUAUUACAACAAUAUAUGAUAAACUAGGAAUAAUAGUCAAUUUUAUAACUGUUAAUACUCUGAAAUAAGACAGUCUUGAUGAUCGGCGCGGCUCCGACGUUCUUCCGAGCAGGUUCGGACACUCUUAACACACCUCACAUGAAGGGACAAUCUGAUAAGAUAAUCUGUGAAACCUUCGCGAUACUCGGGACAUAGCUAGGAUUGUCGGAAGGGGGGAAAUCGGCCCAAAAUCAGCACGAUUAUCUUUUGGUGUGUACCCGGCUUUAGCGCCAAAUGAAGUUAAACCUGCAGUCAGUGUAGCUGCUCACGCGCCACCGUAAACAAACAUGUGGAGGAACGAGUGGAGCAGUGCACAACAUAAAAUCAAGAGUGUAUUCCAGAAAGCAGGGUUAACUUACCAUUAGAUUAACCCCAAACUUUGGGUUGAUCAACCCCAAACUUGCUUACUGUGGGUAUGUCGGUUCCAAAACACAGUUUAAGAGUUAGUUCAAUCAACCCACUGAAAGUAACCCAGAGUUAAUGCGUGCUCACGGUAACAAUAUAAAGGCAUUGUCAAUAGAUCACAGAUUUCACGAGUCACCAUGGAAACGUCAGAUAACUCAAAAGUUUUUAAAUGAGAAAUAACAUUAUAAACCAAUACUUUCUGUCAAAAUCAAUGUUUUAUAAUCGGCUUAGAAGUGUGUGAUUACAAAACAGAUAAAAUUAAAUAAUUAAUAUGAACCUAUUUUACCCCAUUUAAGUCCAAUACUAUAUGUGUCUCAACGAAAAUACACAUAAUAUUAUUUAAAUAUUAUUUAAAAGCCUGUAAAAAUAAUCAUAGAUCAAUGAUCAA